rnacentral:lncRNA from 1 species
CGGACUUGCUUCGAGGACGAUUUCGAAGCAAUUCCGUUGUCUGAAAGAUUCAAUAUCUGACCAAAUCAAAGCUACAAGCAAGAGUUUAGGAGAAGAUGAUUGUUUAGGUAUGAAAUUGGAGGGUUCAAGACUACGAUACGUUGAUUAUCAGCUACGGCAACAGCGGGCACUGCAGCAAUUGGGAAUGAUCCAAUACAAUAAUAAUGUUUGGAGACCCCAGCGAGGAUUACCUGAACGAGCUGUUUCUGUUCUACGUGCUUGGCUUUUCGAGCAUUUCCUUCAUCCGUAUGCACUUCUUCAACUAAAUAACUGAGAACUAGCCAAAAAAAAAAAAACCUCUUUUUCAUUUUGAACUCAUCGGAAACUCCUUAACUUUGGGUGCAGCUAUCCUAAAGAUUCAGACAAACACAUGCUCGCCAAACAAACUGGGCUUACAAGAAAUCAGGUACAUAGCCUAACUUGUUUAAUUUAAUGAUCUUUAUUCUUUAUUUGUAUUAAAAAACAUAGGGCACGUUGGUUCGCAGGUGUCAAACUGAUUUAUAAAUGCUCGAGUCCGCCUGUGGAAGCCAAUGGUUGAAGAGAUGUAUUUGGAGGAAAUGAAGGAACAUGAAAGGAAGGGUGGUGAAGAAAAUAUAAACAAAAGUGAGCAAAAGGAGUCAGGGUCUACCAGCUCCAAAUCCAAUGCCCAGCAGCAAGAGAUGAAUGCUUCCCCUACUCAUCAAAUUUCCAACUCCACUAUCUCCACAUCUCCCAUGGAAGGGUCCCUUAUGCCGCCGCAAACAUCCUUCAAUAUCAUCGGAUCAUCUGAACUUGACAAUGGCGUGGGCGUGGCUCAAAGAGCUUCAAAAAAGUCAAGGAAUGUUAAUGAUGAGUUGCAGAAUUCUCCCGUGGAGAUGAAGCCGGGUGAAACGUGGGAAACUAACAUCAACAUGAUUAAGCUCGGCGAUGAAGAAAGUCUACUCAAACACAGUUUUUCAUACUUGAGUGGAACAACUUACACUAGUAUGGGAGAGAUUGGGAGGUUUAAUGAAGAACAGCAACUGCCACCAAAAUUCCAUGGAAACAGUGUUUCCCUCACCCUCGGACUUCCUCAUUGCGAGAAUCUAUCUCUAUCGAGGAACCCACAAAACUUCCUAUCGAACCACAACAUUCAACUUGGGAUCAACACCCCGCAUGCUUCCCAUUCAAACGCCGCCGGCUUUGACAACAUUCAUGAGAUGCAAAACAGGCAAAGGUUUGCUGCACAGUUGUUGCCAGAUUUUGUUGCCUGACUGAAAUCCAAUUUCACAUUGCACAUUGAUGCACUCAUGGCAUGGGGUAUUAUACUUUUACAAUAUUUACUUCAUUUCCUUUCUAAACGGCUGGGGUUAUUGGGAUUACUAGUUUGGGAAAUUACCCAAUAGGGUUCUCAUUCAUUAAUGAUAUUAUAUUGCCCCCGACAUUCAAAGGAUAUAUUUGAUGAACAAGUUUGGUUAGCAAACGGUUUUCUCGGCUUUAAUAGAUGGGAAAAUAUUUUGGAGUUUUAAGACUGGUCAGAGGUUUAGAAGGGUUGUACAGGAUAUAAUAUAAUAUUUUUAAAAAUAAAUAGAAAAAAAAGUCUAAUACCUAAUUUUAGCCCGGACCCAAAUAAAUAAAGGUGUCCAGUCCAUUUAAAAACCUAAUUCAUGUGGCCCAAUUACAUUAGCCCAAUAAACCCAUAACAGAAUCAAAGAACCCUAGCCCCUUCGCCUCAGUGCCGCAGCAGCAAACAGCCUCCGCACAGAUGUCGCAGCACGUCGCACGUUCUCCUUCCACGCUGCGCACGUUUGUCUUCCAUGCACCUGCAAUAAACCACGAACAGCACAAAUAGGACCGAAUAUACAACAAAAUUGUAAAAAUAUUUGGCUAUAAAAAGCCAACUGAUUUCUAUAAUAGGGGUGAGCAAAAUACUGUAUUGAAAAGUAAAAGAAAACACGAAAGUGAAAGAAUCAGAAAAGCAAAAUUUUGAAGGUGAUCUUUUUGUUUUUUUGUUUUUACUGUUUUUUGUUUCAUUUUUCUAUUGGUUCUUUUCUUUUAAAAAAUAAACGAAAAGAAAAGGAGAAAGUUACCUGUGUGGAGGAGAAGGCGGACUCUGCCCGAAUCGAACUCGGAGGGAGGCUUCAAGCCGCUGAGGUGGUUGUGGUGGUUGGGGAGGGUUUGGGUUAAGGAAAACCUACCAGAGCACCCCCCCCCCCCCUUUCCCUUUUCUUUUGUUUUAAAACAGAAAUGAACUUUAGUUUUUUAAAAAGAACAAAAUUUUGUUUGUUUUU